AGGGCUUACGGUGGAUGCCUUGGUUCUCAGAGGCGAUGAAGGACGUGAUAAGCUGCGAUAAGCUGCGGUUAUUGGCUAAGUACGAUUUGAUCCGUGGAUUUCCGAAUGGGGCAACCUGUUAUGUUUGUUGCAUAACGCUAUUUAUUUUAUUGAUAGAUAGGGCGAACGCGGGGAACUGAAACAUCUCAGUACCUGUAGGAGUAGAAAACAAUAGUGAUUUCGUUAGUAGUGGCGAGCGAAUGCGAAUUAGCCCAAACCUUUCGAGUUUUGGCUUGUUGGGGGUUGUAGGACUGUGUUAUUUGGUAUUUUAGGGAAUAAGAAACUUUUGGAAAGGAGUACCGUAGAGGGUGAUAGUCCCGUAUUGGUAAUUUAAUUUAUUGAUAGCAGUAUCCUGAGUAGCGCGGGGCACGUGUAACCUUGUGUGAAUUUGCCAGGACCAUCUGGUAAGGCUAAAUACUUCUGGGAGACCGAUAGUGGACUAGUACCGUGAGGGAAAGGUGAAAAGCACCCUGUUAUAAGGGGUUGAAAUAGAUCUUGAAACCGUAAGUUUACAAGCGGUCGGGGCUGUUUUAUUGCAGUGACGGCGUGCCUUUUGCAUAAUGAGCCUACGAGUUACUGAUAUUAGCGAGGUUAAGUUUUUUUAGGGAUGUAGCCGUAGCGAAAGCGAGUUUUAAUAGGGCGUUUUUUUUUUAGUUAAUGUUAGUAGACGCGAAACUGUGUGAUCUACCUAUGGGCAGGUUGAAGGUAUGGUAAUACAUAUUGGAGGGCCGCACCCGUUGACGUUGAAAAGUUUUGGGAUGACCUGUGGGUAGGGGUGAAAGGCCAAUCAAACACAGAGAUAGCUCGUACUCCCCGAAAUGCAUUUAGGUGCAGCGUUGGUUAGAUGUUUUAUAGAGGUAGAGCUACUGAUUGGAUGCGGGGGUUUCAUCGCCUACCAAUUCUUGACAAACUCCGAAUGCUAUAAAAUUCAUAUUGGCAGUGAGGGUAUGGGUGCUAAGGUCCAUAUCCGAGAGGGUAAUAACCUGGACUAUCGGCUAAGGUCUCUAAAUAUAUGUUAAGUUGUUUAAACGCGGUUAGAUUGCUUAUACAGCUAGGAUGUUGGCUUGGAAGCAGCCAUUCAUUUAAAGAGUGCGUAACAGCUCACUAGUCGAGUGGUUUAGCAUGGAUAAUACUCGGGCAUAAACAUAUUACCGAAGCUAUAGCUUUGCGAUUUUAUUAUUGCGAGGGGUAGGGGAGCAUUCUAUUUGCGUUGAAGGUGUGCUGUGAGGUAUGCUGGAGCGGAUUGAAGAGAAAAUGUAGGCAUAAGUAACGAUAAUGUAGGCGAGAAACCUACACACCGAAAGAUUAAGGUUUCCUCAGCUAUGUUAUUCAGCUGAGGGUUAGUCGGUUGCUAAGGCGUACCCUAUGGGGUUAGUUGAUGCGAACAAGGUUAAUAUUCCUUGACCUGCGGCAUGCUUAAAGUGACGGAUUCCCCAGGUAUCUGGGUACAGACAGAUGUGCGUUGAGCAUAGCUUUAUUGCGAAGCGAAGGUAAGUAAGGAGUUCCAAGAAAAGCGAGUGUUGUGGUCCGUACUAUAAACCGACACAGGUGGUUGGGAUGAGUAUUCUAAGGUGCUCGAGAGAUUCAUGGCUAAGGAAUUAGGCAAAAUUGCUCCGUAACUUCGGGAGAAGGGGCGCCUGUUUAUUCAGGUUUCAGUUAAUAGGUUCAGGCGACUGUUUAUCAAAAACACAGGGCUCUGCGAAGGCGAAAGCCGAUGUAUAGGGUCUGACACCUGCCCGGUGCUGGAAGGUUAAUUGGAGGGUUUAGCAUUAGCGAAGGUCUGAAAUGAAGCCCCAGUAAACGGCGGCCGUAACUAUAACGGUCCUAAGGUAGCGAAAUUCCUUGUCGGGUAAGUUCCGACCUGCACGAAUGGUGUAACGAUCUGGGCGCUGUCUCAGCCAUGAUCUCGGUGAAAUUGUAGUAUCGGUGAAGAUGCCGAUUACCUGCUACGGGACGAAAAGACCCCGUGAACCUUUACUAUAGCUUAGUAUUGUUUUUGGACAUAUGAUGUGUAGGAUAGGUGGGAGGCUAUGAAGUAUCGUCGUUAGGCGGUGUGGAGUCGUUGUUGAAAUACCACCCUUUAUGUGUUUAGGGACUCACCCUUUUAUAAUGGGGACAUUGCUUGGUGGGUAGUUUGACUGGGGUGGUCGCCUCCAAAAGCGUAACGGAGGCUUCUAAAGGUACCUUCAGCACGUUUGGUAACCGUGCGUAGAGUGCAAUGGCAUAAGGGUGCUUGACUGUGAGACGGACUUGUCGAACAGGUUGGAAACAAGAGCAUAGUGAUCCGGUGGUUCUAAAUGGAAGGGUCAUCGCUCAAAGGAUAAAAGGUACUCCGGGGAUAACAGGCUGAUCUUCCCCAAGAGCUCAUAUCGACGGGGGGGUUUGGCACCUCGAUGUCGGCUCGUCACAUCCUGGGGCUGGAGCGGGUCCCAAGGGUUGGGCUGUUCGCCCAUUAAAGUGGCACGCGAGCUGGGUUCAGAACGUCGUGAGACAGUUCGGUCUCUAUCUGUAGCGGGCGUUAGAAAUUUGCGUGGUUCUGAUUCUAGUACGAGAGGACCGAUUUGGACAAACCUCUGGUUUAUCUGUUGUUUUGCUAUGGGCAUUGCAGAGUAGCUACGUUUGGAUGGGAUAAGUGCUGAAAGCAUAUAAGCACGAAACCCGCCACAAGAUUAGAUUUCUUAUAAGGGUCGUGGGAGACUACCACGUUGAUAGGCUAUAGGUGUAAUUGCAGUAAUGUAUUAAGCCGAGUAGUACUAAUUACCCGUAAGCUCAUUUU
rnacentral:rRNA from 1 species